UUCUUUCUUGAGCUAGUAAGCUUCACUCAGCCAAGUCAUUCUAAGCCAUCCAAAUCAUAAUGGAUGCUUCCAAACAUUAUAGGAAACCUCUACAAAGACUGCCUGCAUCCAUCCAUUUGUCUCUUAAUAUCACAAUUAAGUCAAUAGAACAACACAAAAUUGGUUUGUGCAUCAAGUCUCACUAACUACUGUCAAAGAUUUCUGCAAUAUGCUACAUAUUUGAAACUUCCUCCUUAUCCUAUAUUAGAUUUUUUUCUUCGCCAUGAACUGUUUUUAUGAAGAGGCACACAACCAAUCAAAAGGUUUGUGCAAUACGUUACACUUCAAACUUCCACCUUAUCCAUUAUGAUUCUCUGUUCCACGGACUGUUUUUAUGAAGAGGCACACAACCAAUCAAAAGGUUUGUGCAAUACGUUACACUUCAAACUUCCACCUUAUCCAUUAUGAUUCUCUGUUCCACGGACUGUUUUUAUGAAGAGGCACACAACCAAUCAAAAGGUUUGUGCAAUACGUUACACUUCAAACUUCCACCUUAUCCAUUAUGAUUCUCUGUUCCACGGACUGUUUUUAUGAAGAGGCACACAACCAAUCAAAAGGUUUGUGCAAUACGUUACACUUCAAACUUCCACCUUAUCCAUUAUGAUUCUCUGUUCCACGGACUGUUUUUAUGAAGAGGCACACAACCAAUCAAAAGGUUUGUGCAAUACGUUACACUUCAAACUUCCACCUUAUCCAUUAUGAUUCUCUGUUCCACGGACUGUUUUUAUGAAGAGGCACACAACCAAUCAAAAGGUUUGUGCAUGAAAACCCAAUAUCUACUGUCCACUGUUCCCAAGAGAUUUCUGCAAUAUGCUACAUAUGUGAAACUUCCUCCUUCAGUAUUGGAUUCUCCACUCCAUGAACUGUUUUUAUGGAGAGGCACACAACCAAUACAACGAUUUCUGCAAUAGCUACAGUUGAAACUUCUUCCGUAUCCAUUAAAUGAUUCUCCACUCUAUGAACCCUUUUUAUGAAGAACACAACUGAAAAAAGUGAAUACAAAAUCAUUGUUCAAGUAUCUUCAGAAAUAGUCCCGGCGAAAUUCUAAACUGAUGCAGGCAGUCAAUAGUCAAAGAUCUCACAAAUGCAUAACCACAAAAGUAACACAAUUCUAUAUGAAAUGUUGUAUGGAUGGCUUGUAAUAUAUUUGGUCUAUGUACAGCAAAUUUAGAUGCCAGCCAAAGGAGGAUGGCUUGCCCCUGCUGAGUCUGGUUCCUCCCAAGGUUUCUCCCUAUACCUCCGCUGAUGAUCCUCUUCACUAAUUUAGGGAGUUUUUCCUUGCCACUGUUGCCUUCUGGCUUGCUCACUGGGGUUUUAAGGCACAAUAUUUUCAAUGUAAAGUGUUUGUAAAGAAAAAUAAAUACAUGAUGAAUUAGAAUAU